rnacentral:lncRNA from 1 species
GGCCUGAAUAGAGGCUGCCCAAAGAUCACAAGCUGUGGCCUGGGCUUCUGCUCUCACCAGCAACUCAGACCCUUUGUUACUGAGUGACUAAGAGGGGAGCAAACCAAAUGGAUGGUGCUGUGGGGGUGAGGGCCAGGUUCUGCAGGGCACCUGGGAUCACAGUGCUCGUUCCUGCCAUGAAGGCUCUGUAUCCUGUCCUGUUUUCCCUUCUACCAUCACACUCUGCCUCAUUUCCAUUUCUCACCCCAGGAAAGAAGAAAUUCAAAUUUAAAGCCUUCAAGAGCUUUUUUGGCAAGAAGAAGAAAAAAGAUCCUGAAGAUGCCCACGGAGGGACUAUGCUGAAGUCAAGCUUGUCCACCAGCAACCUUAGCAUCUCUUCUCUGCAGCCAGUUCCAGAAGAUCAACAAACUGAGCCUAGGCCCAAGAGCGGUAUGGGGAACAAAGCCCUAUCCCAUGAUAGCAUCUUCAUGUUGGAAUCUGAGCCUGAAAGAUCAACAAAUACAAUGUGUCUCUCUACAGAGCACCAGAGAGGCAGAACUCUGCAGAGAUCUCAUGUUUCCAGAACCCUGCCUAGAACUGGGAGCAAUAAUGUGCAUGGAGUUGUGUCUGAGGCCAUGUUUAGAGAUGAGCCAAGAAGUGAAGUCUCGACUGAGGAUUCAAAGAUGACUGAGGU